rnacentral:rRNA from 1 species
UACGAAGGGGGCUAGCGUUGCUCGGAAUCACUGGGCGUAAAGGGUGCGUAGGCGGGUCUUUAAGUCAGGGGUGAAAUCCUGGAGCUCAACUCCAGAACUGCCUUUGAUACUGAGGAUCUUGAGUCCGGGAGAGGUGAGUGGAACUGCGAGUGUAGAGGUGAAAUUCGUAGAUAUUCGCAAGAACACCAGUGGCGAAGGCGGCUCACUGGCCCGGUACUGACGCUGAGGAACGAAAGCAUGGGGAGCAAACAGG